rnacentral:sRNA from 1 species
GCACCUGCAAAAUCAGGUGCCGGGAUUGGUCUCCUGAAACCCUUACUGUCGACAUAUGACGCAUAUAGCGUCUUCUUU